AUACAAGUGUAGGUGUCCAAGGCAUCCAAGUAUGGUAUAUUUGGCCUAAUUGAACUGGCAGGAAUCCCAAGGUAUGCCUUUGCAAAAGGCUAGGUUAGACAGCCUCCACAAAAUACACAUCACAUCCAGCCAAGAGAUCAAUUUGUCCUCAAUUUACACUCUUCUGAAUAAAAACAAAAUCAAAGAAGAGCACUAGUGCCCAAAAAGCUUCUUUUGAUCUCUGCCCAGGAAAACAGCAUCCCUACUUCACUCAGUGGUUUCUCUUCCUCAGAUGCCGCAAUGCCGGGGAGAGACUAGAAGUGCAGGUAAAAUGGCAUGUGAGCUCCUCCACCAUUUUUGGCAGUCCUUGCUGCUGGGAGACUUCAGAGGACCAGGACACACACUUUUGGAAGAGCUUCUGUUGGCAGGAGGCGAUGCAGUGCUUUGGGUCUCUCCACAUCCCCAGGGGUAGGCACCGAGCUGAAGGAACCUGCCACUCGCCUGGGAGGAGGCAGCGAAGGAAAGACCCCCAGGUGGACACAGAGGGCUCCAAGCAGCCUGUCACCAUCUCUGCAGAAAGUUCCCUGCUGCCUCAGGGCCUGAAGGAUAGACCAAGAGUUUUCCAUCCAGGGAGAAAACUCCUUAACAGGAAUGAUUAGAGAAGAGGAGACAUCUGCUCAGUACAGAUCACACUGAACACAAGUUAUCAUCUUCAAAGAACAAACGGUGUCUGGAAAACCAUCGUUUGAAAGAAAACGUGCUAUCAAAGAGGCAUUCUGUCUAACUUUCAAAGAACAAAAUCAGUUAGAUGAAACUUAACUUCAACUUAAAUCAAAAUAUCCCACUUUUUGUAAUAGCAACUGCUUCUUGUAUCACCUGCCUACAGCUGCAAGGGAGAAGAGGGUGGCAGGAAAGCAAAUAUAGAAAAUAGUUUGGGACAGUCUGCAUGGGACUGAGUACUGCAGCGGCACACAAUAUAAACAUUGCUGGCUUGUUGUUCAAAGGUAUGAGUGUCCCUGACUACACUAUUCCCAGCAUAGGAAGGAUACGGAACUAUUGAGGUGGGUCCAGAGGAGGGCUGCAAAGUUGAUCAGAAGGCUGGAGCACCGCCCCCAUGAGGAUACACUGAUAGAGCUGGGGUUGUACAGCCUGGAUAAGAAAAGGCUCUGAGGAGAUCUUAUAUCAGCCUUCCAGUACCUGAAAGGGGCUAAAGGAAAGAUGAAGAGGGACUUUUUACAAGGGCAUGUAGUUGUAGGACUAGGGGGAAUGGCUUUAAAUUGGAAGGGGAAAAAAAUUAGAUUAGACAUUAGGAAGAAGUUCUUCACAAUGAGGGUAGCAAGACACUGGCAGAGGUUGCCCAGGGAAGCUGGGGAUGCCCUGUCCAUGGAGGUAUUCAAGGCCAGGUUGGAUGGGACCUUGGGCAGCCUGAUCUAAUGGGACGUGUUCCUGCCCAUGGCAGGGGAGCGUUGUAACUGAAUGAUCUUUAAAGUCCCUUCCAACCCAAACCAUUCUAUGGUUCUAUUCAAGAGAGUGGCAGGCACGAGUGCUUAGCACCCCUAAAAAUCAGACCAAGAUAGACCAAGAUAUCUCUUAUGGGAGUAAGGCAGUUCCUGGAGUUGGGGACCCACAAUACUAUAGAAUAUAAGAAUCACCAAGAAGUGUCAUUUUAGGGUCACAAGCUUAAGUAAUUACAGCCCUUGGGGCUACACAGAAAAUCAAAUGAGUCAAAAUCCAGCACACUAGAUAUCAACUGUGCAUGUAGAGGGUGGAAAAUGAGGAAAGGAGUCCUUUAAAGGUUUUUGGUGGUCAUCUGGGGAAAGGAUCAAAGCAGAGAGUAUACACAGAUAGAUUCCUUCCACAUGCUCAACACUCUG